CAAUCUUUCCCUCUUUAAGAAGAAUAGACUGGAAAUGAAAUUUUUAAUAAUGAACAAUUAUUGAGGAUUAUUUGUAAAUCUCCCAAAAAACAGUUUAAUUUUUGUAGUUUUGUUUAUUCAUUAUCUGAAGCAUACACAUUUUCUGUGUAUUAUUUUAAUAUCCUAGUUAUUUGGUGGACAGUUUGCACAAAUAUGUUGCAGAAAAAUGCAGUUUCUUGUUGACAUGGAUGCAUGAAUGGUGACAUCAGGAGAGGAUCAAUGAAGAUGCUGAAAUUUGGUUAAAGGACAUAAAAAAGUUAAAAUAAUUGCUGAAAAGUUACUUGCAAAAUAGCUGUUUAUCUCAAAGUUAAACACAAUAAGAAGUGUGAAAAAUCAAUUAGGAAUUUAAUUACAGUACUUGUUCCCUGUGGUUUCUUAAAUUAAGAUUAAGGUUUUUUUUUUUUUUUUUUGCAAAAUGAAAAAAAACAGUGUUUCUUUUUAUGACAUAGUUUCUGCAGAGAGGCAGUAGUUCGUUAAAAAUCCACCUCUGAGUUGUGGGUGGGACUCUUGAUGAGGAAACCGAGAUUGUGGCCCGCCCAACAUAUUUUUCACGUCACAAAUAAGCCUUUUUUUAGACAACACUUUUUGUCACUUUUCUUUUUUUUUUUUGUCCUCUAUUGUCAGAAAAAUACCACAAGAAUACAUUAAAAACACAGUUUUUGUCAAAGUGAGUCUAAAUUGGUGGACCAAAAUUGAAAUUAACUGUCAGCAAAAAGAGGUAAAAACUUCAUUUUUGGUGGGAGGAAAAGGAAAAAGGAAGCUGGAAUCAUGGGACAUGUGAGUUAUGGGAAAAAUUAGAUUUAAGGGUCAUAAAAGAAUAGAAAUCCAGUGUAUUGUUGAGAUUUCAAUUUUAUCGGACUCAGCUAAUUUAUAAUAUUUUUUAAUAUUGGAAAACAUUUUGACAAAAAACCCAUGAAUAAUAAAAAUGUAAGAGUCACUUGAACUACUUAAUAAACAGGUUUUAAGGAAGAAAAUAAAAUAGGAAGUAAAUAAAGGACAUAUUGAAGAAUGAUUUCACUGUUGUUAGGAAUUUAUUGUUUACAUUUUGAAAAAAAAAACGUUUUGAUGAAAAUUUAAGAGGAAAAAAAUGACAAUGUUAAUAAAAAAGAUCCUCACUCCACACCAGCAGGGGGCAGACGUGCACUUUAGAUGUAGAUGCCUCGCCAAUAAACCCGAAGGAAGAAGAAGAAAGGACAGCAGCACAAACCAACACUAACUACUACUGCUUCAGGGUAGCAAUUGAAAUAUAAAGAAAGUCCAAAACUUUCAGAAAAAAAGCUUAAAUAAAUAUUUAUUUAAAUGUCAGAACAUUUUUUAAACAAAUAAACUAGCAAAUACAUAAUAUUAUUUUAAAAAAAUAUUAAAAAUAAAAAUAACAGGGCCCAGGUUUCACCACCAGCUACCAAAGCAACAGCAAAGCAGAGACGGUCCAGGAUUUACCAUCAAGACCACAAAAGAAUGAACACAAUGAAAGCUGGAACAAGAUAGUGGAGAAUCUGGAGUCUACAGGAGAGUCUGAAGAUUUGGCCGCAAAGGAGUCUAAUAAGAGUCUUUCCGGAAUGAAUUGACCCUCAAACAAUCAGAGCAGCACUCACAGUUGGUUGUGCUCAAGGAUCCGGGCCUGCAGUAUAUCCAACCCUCAGCACUACGAGUCCUGCUAUCUGUCACCGAACAUUCAGCCUGAUUUGUGUAAGCAACAUCUGACCACGACAAUUGCAUUAACAAGCACUGGAAGGUCCGGGCCGUCAAGCUUUCCUGAGACCACAUGAGCUCCUGAUUAAAUUAUGAGCAUGAAAUCACAGAUCCUCUCAUUGUUAUUCUGUAAAAACCCCUGCUUGGACAUGAACCACCGUCACAUGAAUAAGAUACUUCUCUUCAAUCUUGUAAUUAGCAGCUAAAAGCUCAAAUUGGUUCAUGAUAUGCCCCUGAAAAGGAUCCUAAACAAAGUUUUUUGUUGUCCUGGUAACUUUUUUUUCUGUUGUGAGGCACUUUCAGGUCAAUAUCUUUAGAGUUUGGUGGGAAAAGUCAACAUUUUUUAGGGGACAUUUGAUAGCACAAUGCAGACCAGAACCCAGUAAAAAUAUUAAACUUUAGUUUUAAACACACAAAGUUUUUUUUACUAUUUUUUUAAGAUUGGGAUAUUUACUAUUGAGGUGAUUUUUUUGUGUGUACCGCGUUAAAAGUUGUUUUAUUGAGCUUGCUUUCAUUCAACCACAUUUCAAUUAUAUGUUUGUGUCUCAUUGUUGUCUGUUGCUUUCUUUCUACCCUGUUUACAUCACUUAAUGGCCAUCUAGGGUGGCCGUCUUGGUCCAAUUGUUCUGCUCCGAGCACGGAGCCUAUUCAAAAUGAGGAAAGUCAGAGCAAGCCGGAGUUGAGUCCGAUUGGAAAUGAACCAACACCACCUGGGAUGAUGGGUCAGAGAGCGGGUCCCGAUCCCGGACCAGGAUCUGCUUGGGUGUAUUCAGACUGAAAAUUUGUUCCGUAUUAUCGGGCGAACUGAACUCUGGUUCACUUUAAGCGAACCAAAUGUGUCCAGUCGGAAUACACCCUUAAAAGUUUCUAUUCAGCGUUAAAGUGUUUUUUUUUAUUUUUUUUUUUUUAUUCUUUAUUUGUCUCUAAAAGGCCUUGUCGUUGAUGCAAAAAAGCCUGAUUUUAAUUAAUUUCCUCCUACUCUGUGGCCUGUCCAUUUCCCUUCCUCUUUCUAAAUCUGUUCUUUAGCCGAAUCCAAAUUCUUCCCCUAAGGCUUCUUCCUAAUCCUAUACUU